UACGUAGGGUGCAAGCGUUGUCCGGAAUUAUUGGGCGUAAAGAGCUCGUAGGCGGUUUGUCGCGUCGAAUGUGAAAACCCGGGGCUCAACCCCGGGCCUGCAUUCGAUACGGGCAGACUAGAGUUCGGUAGGGGAGUCUGGAAUUCCUGGUGUAGCGGUGAAAUGCGUAGAUAUCUGGAGGAAUACCGGUGGCGAAGGCGGCAUCCUGGACCGACAUUGACGCUGAGGAGCGAAAGCUAGGGGAGCAAACGGG
rnacentral:rRNA from 1 species